rnacentral:other from 1 species
ACGGUUAUAAAUCAACAUAUUGAUUUAUAAGCAUGGAAAUCCCCUGAGUGAAACAGCGAAUUGCUGUGUGUAGUCUUUGCCCAUCUCCCACGAUGGGCUUUUUUUUAA